CGACUUCGACGGCGACGGCGCGGACGGCGAGGCCGUGGGCGGCGGAGAAGGCGAAGCAGGUGGAGGCGGAGAAAGUGGGGAUGGAGGCGGUGGAGGGGAGGGAGAUUUUGGGAGAGUAUGGGGCGGAGAAGAGGAAGCAGAGGUCGCCGGAGCGGAGGAGGUAGGAGGCGUGAGAGUGGUUUCCGGUGGAGAGGUCUGAUUUUGCGACGAGCGGCAUGCCGAGGCCCCAGGAGAAGCGGCGUGCGGCGUUGGUGGCGUCGGAGCACCAGAACUCGAUGUGGUGGAACCUUUUCACGGCGAACCGGUCUGAUUUUGGGUUGGACCGGACGAAGCGGUUGAACCCGAGGAGUUUGAACCCGGUUUGGACUUCUUCAGUAGUUGUUGUUUGUUUACCCAUGGUGGAGUGAGUGUUGGGUUUCGGAUGGUGGGGUGGUGGUGGUGUUAUGUAGGAGAAGUGGCGGCGGAGUGACAC
rnacentral:lncRNA from 1 species